CUAAUGUACCCUCGAGUCCCUAAUUAGUGCUUGAGCCACUUGAAGGUAUUAUUUAAUUUUUAAAUAAUUUCUGCAGCAAAAUGAGGAGAUCCCACAUUGGCUGCACACGCAUUCUUGCCAUUGCCCAUGGCUGGAGUUGCCUGGUGCCGUGAGUUUUCCAUUUCAUGGGAAACUCAUGUGCUGAGGGAGUAACCCAGCAAGGAAUGAGUAAAUAGCUGCUGCUCUAAAGACCAGCUCAUUAAGAGGCAGACAUCUGAAUGAAUUUUUGUAAUUGUUAACUUACAAGUUGGGAAUUUGUGAAAUGUGACAAAUAAGAAGUAAUUGAGAAUGCCUGCUGCACUGGGAUCUGUCUCUGCCGACAUAUGCGUUCUCCGCCGUGGUGCUGUUGUUUGUGGCAAUCCCGGUGUGGCACAGGCAGGAUGAAGGAGGUGUGCAGGGGAAUAUCCACUGGAGCCGCAAUGGCAGGGCCUCGAAAAUUCCAUGUGAGGAUCCCAGAGUAGAGUAAGAAAAACACCAUCAGGAGAUUGGAACCU